rnacentral:lncRNA from 1 species
UUAUCGUUCACGUCGCUGCAAACCCAUGACGAAGGCAUGAUGAAGCGGUCUCAUUUGCCAACAAAGAUAAGUGCAAAAGACCGUGCAAAGCAGUUCCCGGAUUGUUACACGACAGUUUGGGGCAAAUUAUUUUGCACUCCGUGCAACUGCGUGUUGGACCACAGGCGGAAGUCGACGCUGGAUAACCACUUUGCCGCCGCCAAACAUGCAAGGAUGGUUAAAGCAGCGGAAGCAGCCAAGAAGCAGCUCACCUACACCGAGGCGUCAACUUCCAAAACAGAUUUGUGAAACCUGGGUUGCCACCUGCACUGCCAUUAACAUCCCACUGUCUAAGACUGACCACCCUGCACUGAGGAGAUUUCUGAAUGAGAAUGUCCUCAAUGGCGGCGCCAUUCCAGGGUUUCACCAGCUUCAAGAGAAGUACUUGGGAGCAGUAUAUGAGAGUGAAAAAGAGGAGCUGAAGACACAUCUUGCAGGAAAACCUCUUGCUGUGAUAUUCGAUGAGACUCCGGACUUCCUUCACAUAAUUCCUCAGUACAAUUAACAUUUCUUUUUCUUUAUCAGUUAACCCCCUUUGCACAUACCAACAUGAAUAGUUUGAGCAGACGUCCUGUGACCACAAAGAUCUUCAAUUAUCUGGAGGAUUUGCAGGUGGUCUUUGCUGCCAACAAAGAGCUGCAGUAUGAGGCGUAUGCCGAAUACUUUCAAGGGUUUGUCUUACCACACACCACGAAGACACAGAUCCUCAGCACAGUUGGUCAGGCAUAUGACAACGAUGAAGAAAAGCUCACCAAGUACAUGUCACAUGGGCAACCGGCCAUUGAGUUUGUCCAGGAGGUCACGGUGUUUGACCCUCGCCACAUCGCAUUCCUAGAUGACUUCGUAGCAAGCUACAAGGCCAUUCCAGGUUUCACUGAAGUGCAGAGUGAUGAAUUUGGUUCUUACUUCAAAACUCUUGGUCCAGCAGCACUCAGAGCUGCACCAUCCGGCGUGGUGGAUUUGGAUGUGUUAUGGGAUGGCGUACAGGAGAGACUUCCUGGGCUGACUUCCUUAGCAAAACGGUACAAACAUGCUGUCUCAAACUCAGCUGAUGCUGAACGCAGUAAAAGCAUCUACAAACUGGUGUUGUCUAACCGAAGAUCAACUACCAACCAAAACCUCAAAGCCUUGGUCUUCCUGUACCACAACCAACGAGUCCGCAGUGGAGCAUUUGAGAGGGAGGAGAUGGUGCAGGGGGAGGAGAUGGACGUUGAGGGAGAGGGGAUGGAGGAUGAGGAUGAGGAAUGAUUGGCUAGCGUUAGAUGCAGCUUUACAGUUGUAAGAUUGCACUUUUUUGUCCCUUUUUCAAAAGCUACCUCUGUAAAACAGGGACAUUUAUUUAUUUAUUCAUUUUUACAGAAGUUGUAGCAGAUUCUUUUUGUAAAGCUACAGAAGUUGUACUCACUGUUUAAAG